CAAGAAGUAGUUUAAAUAGAAUAUCAGCUUUGGGUGUUGAUGGCGGGGGUUAGUCCUUCCUUCUUGA
rnacentral:tRNA from 1 species